GGAGUUAGCCGGUGCUUCUUCUGUGAGUGAUGUCCUUCCUGCCGGCUAUUAACCCGCAGGCCUUCUUCCUCACUGAAAGUGCUUUACAACCCGAAGGCCUUCUUCACACACGCGGCAUGGCUGGAUCAGGGUUGCCCCCAUUGUCCAAUAUUCCCCACUGCUGCCUCCCGUAGGAGUCUGGGCCGUGUCUCAGUCCCAGUGUGGCUGAUCAUCCUCUCAGACCAGCUACGGAUCGUCGCCUUGGUGAGCCGUUACCUCACCAACCAGCUAAUCCGACAUAGGCUCAUCCGAUAGCGCGAGGCCCGAAGGUCCCCCGCUUUCCCCCGUAGGGCGUAUGCGGUAUUAGCCUGGGUUUCCCCAGGUUAUCCCCCACUACCGGGGCAGAUUCCUAUGCAUUACUCACCCGUCCGCCGCUCGCCACCAGGGAGCAAGCUCCCCGUGCUGCCGCUCGACUUGCAUGUGUUAGGCCUGCCGCCAGCGUCAUCUGAGCAUAAUACAACUACUGA
rnacentral:rRNA from 1 species